AAAAUGGGAUAAAUAGACCAAGUCUGUUCCUACGUUAAACCACUGCGAGCUGGACGUCUUUUGGAUACGCCAAGGCAAGCAGCAAGAUUUGUUAAUGUCCUUGGUUAUGAAAGAGCCCCUGUUAUCGGAGGAGGAGGUAAACAGGAGCAGUGGUGCACUUUGUUGGCCUUUCUCUGUAGAAACAAGGGUGAUUGUGAAGAUCAUGCUAACCUUCUGUGCAGCCUUCUUCUUGGAUAUGGAUUAGAAGCUUUUGUCUGUGUUGGGACUAAGGCAAAGGGAGUACCUCACGCGUGGGUUAUGACUUGUGGAACUGACGGAACCAUCACUUUUUGGGAGAGUUUAACAGGACACAGGUACAUCCACAAACCUAUCAAUCCUGAUGAGCCUCCGCUUGCUGAACAGCCCAAGCAUUGCACCCAUAUCGAACAAUUGGUUGUGUUUUCAAUCAUCAGAUGUUCCUGGGAAAUUGUCAGCCCUCGGAUGCAGUAGAAACCUGCAUAUUUGAUUUGAAUGAUGAAUCCAAGUGGAAACCCAUGAGUGAAGAAGCAAUUAAGUCUGUGUGUGCCCCUGGAGCCACCACAUCCCUCCCUCCUUUCCCACCCCUAUGCGCACCACUAUUGAUGCAUCUGUAACAAGUAAUGAAAUAGAAAUGCAGCUG